rnacentral:rRNA from 1 species
CAUGCGGGUGCUACCAUGCAGUCGAACGUGAUCCGCCCUUCGGGGUGGUGAAAGUGGCGCACGGGUGAGUAACGCGUGGAUAAUCUGCCCGAGGAUUUGGGAUAACAUCUCGAAAGGGGUGCUAAUACCGAAUAAGCCCACGGGGUCUACGGAUCUUGCGGGAAAAGGGGGGGACCUUCGGGCCUCCUGUCCUUGGAUGAGUCUGCGUACCAUUAGCUAGUUGGUGGGGUAAUGGCCUACCAAGGCGACGAUGGUUAGCUGGUCUGAGAGGAUGAUCAGCCACACUGGAACUGAGACACGGUCCAGACUCCUACGGGAGGCAGCAGUGGGGAAUUUUGCGCAAUGGGGGAAACCCUGACGCAGCAACGCCGCGUGGGUGAUGAAGGCCUUCGGGUCGUAAAGCUCUGUCUGGAGGGAAGAAAUGAUUGGGAGCUAAUACCUCUUGAUCUUGACGGUACCUCUGAAGGAAGCACCGGCUAACUCCGUGCCAGCAGCCGCGGUAAUACGGAGGGUGCAAGCGUUGUUCGGAAUUAUUGGGCGUAAAGCGCGUGUAGGCGGUCUUUUAAGUCUGAUGUGAAAGCCCCGGGCUCAACCUGGGAAGUGCAUUGGAAACUGGGAGGCUUGAGUACGGGAGAGGAGAGUGGAAUUCCUAGUGUAGGAGUGAAAUCCGUAGAUAUUAGGAGGAACACCGGUGGCGAAGGCGGCUCUCUGGACCGAUACUGACGCUGAGACGCGAAAGCGUGGGUAGCAAACAGGAUUAGAUACCCUGAUAGUCCACGCCGUAAACGAUGAGUACUAGGUGUUGCGGGUAUUGACCCCU